rnacentral:rRNA from 1 species
CCAAGUCAGGUGGGAUUACCCGCUGAACUUAAGCAUAUAACCAAGUCAGGUGGGAUUACCCGCUGAACUUAAGCAUAUAA